rnacentral:rRNA from 1 species
AGCGAACGCUGGCGGCAGGCCUAACACAUGCAAGUCGAACGAAGUCUUCGGACUUAGUGGCGGACGGGCGAGUAACACGUGGGAACGUACCUUUUGGUUCGGAACAACUCAGGGAAACUUGAGCUAAUACCGGAUGAGCCCUUAGGGGGAAAGAUUUAUCGCCGAAAGAGCGGCCCGCGUUAGAUAAGCUAGUUGGUGAGGUAAAGGCUCACCAAGGCUACGAUCUAUAGCUGGUCUGAGAGGAUGAUCAGCCACACUGGGAUUGAGACACGGACCCGACUCCUACGGGAGGCAGCAGUGGGGAAUCUUGAGCAAUGGGCGAAAGCCUGACGCAGCCAUGCCGCGUGAGUGAUGAGGGUCUUAGGAUUGUAAAAUUCUUUUACCAGGGACGAUAAUGACGGUACCUGGAGAAAAAGCCCCGGCUAACUUCGUGCCAGCCGCCGCCGUAAUAC